GGUAGUGGUCGCUCAGUGGUUAAGAUGUUGGACUACUGCUCGGAAGGUUUCGAGUUCAAAUCCCGGCAUUGCCA